UUGUUCGGAAUCACUGGGCGUAAAGCGUGCGUAGGCUGUUUCGUAAGUCGUGUGUGAAAGGCGCGGGCUCAACCCGCGGACGGCACAUGAUACUGCGAUACUAGAGUAAUGGAGGGGGAACCGGAAUUCUCGGUGUAGCAGUGAAAUGCGUAGAUAUCGAGAGGAACACUCGUGGCGAAGGCGGGUUCCUGGACAUUAACUGACGCUGAGGCACGAAGGCCAGGGGAGCGAAAGGGAUUAGAUACCCCUGUAGUCCUGGCAGUAAACGGUGCACGCUUGGUGUGCGGGGAAUCGACCCCCUGCGUGCCGGAGCUAACGCGUUAAGCGUGCCGCCUGGGGAGUACGGUCGCAAGAUUAAAACUCAA
rnacentral:rRNA from 1 species